GACGAACGCUGGCGGCGUACCUAAUACAUGCAAGUCGAGCGAACAGACGAGGAGCUUGCUCCUCUGACGUUAGCGGCGGACGGGUGAGUAACACGUGGAUAACCUACCUAUAAGACUGGGAUAACUUCGGGAAACCGGAGCUAAUACCGGAUAAUAUAUUGAACCGCAUGGUUCAAUAGUGAAAGACGGUUUUGCUGCCACUUAUAGAUGGAUCCGCGCCGCAUUAGCUAGUUGGUAAGGUAACGGCUUACCAAGGCGACGAUGCGUAGCCGACCUGAGAGGGUGAUCGGCCACACUGGAACUGAGACACGGUCCAGACUCCUACGGGAGGCAGCAGUAGGGAAUCUUCCGCAAUGGGCGAAAGCCUGACGGAGCAACGCCGCGUGAGUGAUGAAGGUCUUCGGAUCGUAAAGCUCUGUUAUUAGGGAAGAACAAAUGUGUAAGUAACUAUGCACGUCUUGACGGUACCUAAUCAGAAAGCCACGGCUAACUACGUG
rnacentral:rRNA from 1 species